rnacentral:rRNA from 1 species
UAGAGUUUGAUCCUGGCUCAGGACGACUUUUUGAGGCGUGCUUAAUACAUGCAAGUCAACGACUUUUAAGACAUCAAUAUUUUAAGGGGAGUGGCGCACGGGUGAGUAACACGUAGGCAAUCUACCUUUAGGACUGACACAACUCGUCGAAAGACGGGCUAAUAUCAGAUAAUGCAGCGGCUCCGCAUGGAGACAGUUGUUAAAGUACAAGCGCCUGAAGAUGAGCCUGCGGUCCAUUAGCUAGUUGGUAGAGUAACGGCCUACCAAGGCAACGAUGGAUAGCUGGUCUGAGAGGAUGAUCAGCCACACUGGAACUGAGACACGGUCCAGACUCCUACGGGAGGCAGCAGUAAGGAAUAUUGCUCAAUGGCCGAAAGGCUGAAGCAGCAACGCCGCGUGAAGGAUGAAUGGCCUUUGGCCUGUAAACUUCUGUAAAAGAGGAAAAAUAGUUAGGUAUAUCCUAAU